AUUGGGAAGCCAGAAUUACUUGCAGGAGUAACCUAGUGCCUAUAGCUAUGGCAGGUACCUGCAUCCUUGUUUUUGUUUAGUGGAUCCUCUAUCCUUCAGAGACUCUGGAACCCCUGUGCUCUUCUCCUCAUCUAGUGACCCUGAGGUGAUGGAGUUUUCAAGUCCUUCCAGAGAGGAAUGUCCCAAGCCUUCGGGUAGGGUAAGCAUCAUGGCUGGCAGCCUCACAGGAUUGCUUCUACUUCAGGCAGUGUCGUGGGCAUCAGAUGAGUGAGUCAAGGCAGUGGGGAGGUAGCACAGAGCCUCCCUUCUGCCUCAUAGUCCUUUGGUAGCCUUCCAGUAAGCUGGUGGUAGACUUUUAGUAGGUGCUCAAUAAAUCCUUUUGAGUGACUGAGACCAACUUUGGGGUGAGGAUUUUUGAAACCGUCUUCAGUCUCUCCAAACAGCUGUGUCCGUUCUCCACAUCCUUGUCAGACCUCACCUCUGCUUGUGCUCCCUCCCUCCCAGGUGGUGCCCCUGCAUCCCUAAAAGCUUCAGUACAGCUCGGUGGUCUGUGUCUGCAAUGCCACAUACUGUGACUCUUGACCCCCCGACCUUUCCUGCCCUAGGUGCCUUCAGCCGCUACAAGAGCAGAAGCAGUGGGCAUUGGAUGGAGCUGAGUACAGGACCAUACAGGCUAAUUGCACCGGCACAGGAAUCGGAUAUAACAUCAUCUGGGUACCCAUGGCCAGCUGUGACUUCUCCAUCCGCACCUACACCUAUGCAGACACCCCUGAUGAUUUCCAGUUGCACAACUUCAGCCUCCCAGAGGAAGAUACCAAGCUCAAGAUACCCCUGAUUCACCGAGCCCUGCAGUUGGCCCAGCGUCCCGUUUCACUCCUUGCCAGCCCCUGGACAUCACCCACUCGGCUCAAGACCAGGGGAGCGGGGAAUGGGAAGGGGCCACUCAAGGGACAGCCCAGAGACAUCUACCACCAGACCUGGGCCAGAUACAUUGUGAAGUUCCUGGAUGCCUAUGCUGAGCACAAGUUACAGUUCUGGGCAGUGACAGCUGAAAAUGAGCCUUCUGCUGGGCUGUUGAGUGGAUACCCCUUCCAGUGCCUGGGCUUCACCCCUGAACAUCAGCGAGACUUCAUUGCCCGUGACCUAGGUCCUACCCUUGCCAACGGUACUCACCACAAUGUCCGCCUACUCAUGCUGGAUGACCAACGCUUGCUGCUGCCCCACUGGGCAAAGGUGGUACUGACAGACCCAGAAGCAGCUAAGUAUGUUCAUGGUAUUGCUGUACAUUGGUACCUGGACUUUCUGGCUCCAGCCAAAGCCACCCUAAGGGAGACACACCACCUGUUCCCCAACACCAUGCUCUUUGCCUCAGAGGCCUGUGUGGGUUCCAAGUUCUGGGAGCAGAGUGUGCGGCUAGGCUCCUGGGAUCGAGGGAUGCAGUACAGCCACAGCAUCAUCACAGUAAGCCACCCCAGUCUCCCUUCCUGCAAAGGAGACCUCAGACCCAUUAGUAGUCUCACCAAAGACUGAUAGAAGCCCUUCCUGUCCAGCUUUCCCCAGGUAGCCUGCCCUUUUGGGCAACUCUGGGGAACCAUGAUUCCCUGUCUUGCCUUUCCUUCACAGGUCUGCACACCUCAUUGCCCCUUUUGCAACUACUGAGGCACUUGCAGCUGCCUCAGACUUCUCAGCUCCCCUUGAGAUGCCUGGAUCUUCACACCCCCAACUCCUUAGCUACUAAGGAAUGUGCCCCUCACAGGGCUGACCUACCCACAGCUGCCUCUCCCACACGUGACCCUUACCUACACUCUCUGGGGACCCCCAGUGUUGCGCCUUUGUCUCCUUGCCUUUGUCCUUACCCUAGAACCUCCUGUACCAUGUGGUCGGCUGGACCGACUGGAACCCAUCAUUGUAGACAUCACCAAGCACACGUUUUACAAACAGCCCAUGUUCUACCACCUUGGCCACUUCAGCAAGUUCAUUCCUGAGGGCUCCCAGAGAGUGGGGCUGGUUGCCAGUCAGAAGAACGACCCGGACGCAGUGGCACUGAUGCAUCCCGAUGGCUCUGCUGUUGUGGUCGUGCUAAACCGCUCCUCUAAGGAUGUGCCUCUUACCAUCAAGGAUCCUGCUGUGGGCUUCCUGGAGACAAUCUCACCUGGCUACUCCAUUCACACCUACCUGUGGCGUCGCCAGUGAUGGAGCAGAUACUCAAGGAGGCACUGGGCUCAGCCUGGGCAUUAAAGGGACAGAGUCAGCUCACACGCUGUCUGUGACUAAAGAGGGCACAGCAGGGCCAGUGUGAGCUUACAGCGACGUAAGCCCAGGGGCAAUGGUUUGGGUGACUCACUUUCCCCUCUAGGUGGUGCCAGGGGCUGGAGGCCCCUAGAAAAAGAUCAGUAAGCCCCAGUGUCCCCCCAGCCCCCAUGCUUAUGUGAACAUGCGCUGUGUGCUGCUUGCUUUGGAAACUGGGCCUGGGUCCAGGCCUAGGGUGAGCUCACUGUCCGUACAAACACAAGAUCAGGGCUGAGGGUAAGGAAAAGAAGAGACUAGGAAAGCUGGGCCCAAAACUGGAGACUGUUUGUCUUUCCUGGAGAUGCAGAACUGGGCCCGUGGAGCAGCAGUGUCAGCAUCAGGGCGGAAGCCUUAAAGCAGCAGCGGGUGUGCCCAGGCACCCAGAUGAUUCCUAUGGCACCAGCCAGGAAAAAUGGCAGCUCUUAAAGGAGAAAAUGUU
ensembl:lncRNA GBA1LP glucosylceramidase beta 1 like, pseudogene